AUUGAACGCUGGCGGAAUGCUUUACACAUGCAGGUCGAACGGCAGCACGGACUUCGGUCUGGUGGCGAGUGGCGAACGGGUGAGUAAUGUAUCGGAACGUGCCCAGUCGUGGGGGAUAACGUAGUGAAAAUUACGCUAAUACCGCAUACGAUCUAUGGAUGAAAGCGGGGGAUCGCAAGACCUCGCGCGAUUGGAGCGGCCGAUAUCAGAUUAGGUAGUUGGUGGGGUAAAGGCCCACCAAGCCAACGAUCUGUAGCUGGUCUGAGAGGACGACCAGCCAAACUGGAACUGAGACACGGUCCAGACUCCUACGGGAGGCAGCAGUGGGGAAUUUUGGACAAGGGGCGAAAGCCUGAUCCAGCCAUUCCGCGUGCAGGAUGAAGGCCCUCGGGUUGUAAACUGCUUUUGUACAGAACGAAAAGGUUUCUACUAAUACUAGGAGCUCAUGACGGUACUGUAAGAAUAAGCACCGGCUAACUACGUGCCAGCAGCCGCCGUAA
rnacentral:rRNA from 1 species